CCUGGAAGAGAGUUAACAGAAUUCAUAACACAGAAAACUCAGCCUCUCUGAGAGCAGCAUGUACAGUGAUCUCAAAAUUAGUGGGAUUUUAUCCAAGGAAAUAUGUGUUAAGUAGCUUCUUGUAUCCUGAAGGUUCUUUUCUGCAUAAGGAUUAACAAUUUGCUAAAGGUUACAGUUGCUGCUGUCCACCCUUCUCUGGUUUGAAACUCUUUGUUUCUGCUGUUGCUGCGUGACAAACACAAGAAGAAACGACUUCUCACCACCUGUGGUGUGUUUGUUUAAUAUCUGCACGCCAGGCGUUGUGACUCACGGCAAAUCUUAGGCAACUGCUCCGCGCAAACAUCGACAGCUUAUGGGACAGCUUUCUCAAGCUGACAUUUAAAUAAACUGAUGAGCUGUAGAUAUAAACUAUCUGGUUGGAGCAGAGCUCUGUGUACCUUUUCCUUUUCACAUCCAGGACCACGUAGACCAGGAAGGCGAUGAGGGUGCAGCCCAGGACGACGCUGAGCACGAUGGCUGCGACGAGCUCCGGGCUCGCCGAGGCCGCGGGAGGCUCCACGAUGGCAGCAGUGACAGAGGUGGAAAACACCUUCUCCAGUUCUGCCUCGAUGUUUCCAGACUGCUCCUUGAGUUUUCUGAAGAAAAGAAGGAUAAAAUGUGAUGACUUAACCAGGCCUUCCUUUUGGCUGGAGGAGUAGAGAGGAAAAGAACAACAUAUCCCUCCCUGGUCCGCCAAGGUCUUUUCCAAAAAUUCAGACUUGUCGUGGCUUUCAUUCAGGAAAGCCUCUGUUCUCUAAGCAACCAGCCCUGGUGCUUGUGACCUAAAAUGCUGCAAAGCUUGGACAAUUGAACUUGAGAGAUCAGUAAAUCCUCCAAAUCCACAUCACUGUCGUGUUAUGAAACAAAUGUAAAAUACACCUAAAGUGUAAAAUUUUUAAUCAACAAUCUGCUGUUGUAAAGUCAAUGUAUUUUAAUUACAUUCUUUCUGCUUCAGCUGUUUUUUCUUAAACUGACUUUUAAAUCUAUUUUGCACAAUUAAACUGCCUUAUUCGUGGUUUUGA